rnacentral:rRNA from 1 species
GACACGGCCCAGACUCCUACGGGAGGCAGCAGUGGGGAAUUUUCCGCAAUGGGCGAAAGCCUGACGGAGCAAGACCGCGUGCGGGAGGAAGGCCCUUGGGUCGUAAACCGCUUUUCUUAGGGAAGAAGCUCUGACGGUACCUAAGGAAUCAGCCUCGGCUAACUCCGUGCCAGCAGCCGCGGUAAUACGGAGGAGGCAAGCGUUAUCCGGAAUUAUUGGGCGUAAAGCGUCCGCAGGCGGCUUACCAAGUCUGCUGUCAAAUACCAGAGCUCAACUCUGGGUCGGCGGUGGAAACUGGCAAGCUAGAGUACAGUAGGGGUAGAGGGAAUUCCCAGUGUAGCGGUGAAAUGCGUAGAGAUUGGGAAGAACACCGGUGGCGAAAGCGCUCUACUGGGCUGUAACUGACGCUGAGGGACGAAAGCUAGGGUAGCGAAAGGGAUUAGAUACCCCUGUAGUCUUAGCUGUAAACGAUGGAGACUAGGCGUGGCUUGUAUCGACCCGAGCCGUGCCGAAGCCAACGCGUUAAGUCUCCCGCCUGGGGAGUACGCACGCAAGUGUGAAACUCAAAGGAAUUGACGGGGGCCCGCACAAGCGGUGGAGUAUGUGGUUUAAUUCGAUGCAACGCGAAGAACCUUACCAAGGCUUGACAUCCCGCGAAUCCUGGUGAAAGCCGGGAGUGCCUUCGGGAGCGCGGAGACAGGUGGUGCAUGGCUGUCGUCAGCUCGUGUCGUGAGAUGUUGGGUUAAGUCCCGCAACGAGCGCAACCCUUGUCCUUAGUUGCCAGCAUUCAGUUGGGCACUCUAGGGAGACUGCCGGUGACAAACCGGAGGAAGGUGGGGAUGACGUCAAGUCAUCAUGCCCCUUACGUCUUGGGCUACACACGUACUACAAUGGUUGGGACAACGGGCAGCGAAGCGGCAACGCCGAGCGAAUCCCAGCAAACCCAGCCUCAGUUCAGAUCGCAGGCUGCAACUCGCCUGCGUGAAGGAGGAAUCGCUAGUAAUCGCAGGUCAGCAUACUGCGGUGAAUUCGUUCCCGGGCCUGUACACACCGCCCGUCACACCAUGGAAGUUGGCCAUGCCCGAAGUCGUUACUCCAACCAUUGUGGAGGAGGACGCCGAAGGCAGGGCUGAUGACUGGGGUGAAGU